rnacentral:rRNA from 1 species
GAUGAACGCUGGCGGCGUGCCUAAUACAUGCAAGUCGAGCGAACGGACGAGAAGCUUGCUUCUCUGAUGUUAGCGGCGGACGGGUGAGUAACACGUGGAUAACCUACCUAUAAGACUGGGAUAACUUCGGGAAACCGUAGCUAAUACCGGAUAAUAUUUUGAACCGCAUGGUUCAAAAGUGAAAGACGGUCUUGCUGUCACUUAUAGAUGGAUCCGCGCUGCAUUAGCUAGUUGGUAAGGUAACGGCUUACCAAGGCAACGAUGCAUAGCCGACCUGAGAGGGUGAUUGCCCACACUGGAACAGAGACACGGUCCAGACUCCUACGGGAGGCAGCAGUAGGGAAUCUUACGCAAUGGGCGAAAGCCUGACGGAGCAACGUCGCGUGAGUGAUGAAGGUCUUCGGAUCGUAAAACUCUGUUAUUCGGGAAGAACAUAUGUGUAAGUAACUGUGCACAUCUUGACGGUACCUAAUCAGAAAGCCACGGCUAACUACGUG